rnacentral:rRNA from 1 species
UACGUAGGGUGCGAGCGUUAAUCGGAAUUACUGGGCGUAAAGGGCGCGUAGGUGGCCUGAUAAGGGUGUGGUGAAAGUCCGGGGCUCAACCCCGGAUCUGCCGUGCCGACUGUUAGGCUAGAGUACUGUAGGGGCAGGCGGAAUUCCGGGUGUAGCGGUGGAAUGCGUAGAGAUCCGGAGGAAGACCGGUGGCGAAGGCGGCCUGCUGGGCAGUUACUGACACUGAGGCACGAAGGCCAGGGGAGCAAACGGG